GACGUAGGGCGCGAGCGUUGUCCGGAUUUAUUGGGCGUAAAGAGCUCGUAGGCGGUUCGUCGCGUCGGCUGUGAAAUCCCGAGGCUCAACCUCGGGUCUGCAGUCGAUACGGGGCGGACUGGAGUUCGGCAGGGGAGACUGGAAUUCCUGGUGUAGCGGUGGAAUGCGCAGAUAUCAGGAGGAACACCGGUGGCGAAGGCGGGUCUCUGGGCAGUAACUGACGCUGAGGAGCGAAAGCGUGGGGGAGCGAACAGG
rnacentral:rRNA from 1 species